CACCACAAUCUUAUUCUCACUGCCAACUACCGCUAGUAGCCUUGAUCUAGCUGCCCAACCAGAACCAGCAACCUCCCAGAUUCACACUGCAGCACCCGCACAGCGGGCCAUCGACAGAAGCCAGAGGGCGCACACCAUGCAGCGUAGCCCUAGCCGCCGCCCCACUGCACCAGCCCGGCCGGAACCGGAGGGCAAAGACGAGCACCCGAGGCCACCUCCACAUGACUGCGCCAGGGGGCUGCCAGAUCCACAC
rnacentral:lncRNA from 1 species